rnacentral:rRNA from 1 species
GAUGAACGCUAGCGAUAGGCUUAACACAUGCAAGUCGAGGGGCAGCAUGGUCUUAGCUUGCUAAGACUGAUGGCGGCCGGCGCACGGGUGCGUAACGCGUAUGCAACUUGCCUCACAGAGGGGGAUAACCCGUCGAAAGACGGACUAAUACCGCGUACACUCCACUUUGGGCAUCCAAUGUAGAGGAAAUGAAAUUCGCUGUGAGAUAGGCAUGCGUCCCAUUAGCUAGUUGGUGAGGUAACGGCUCACCAAGGCGACGAUGGGUAGGGGAACUGAGAGGUUGAACCCCCACACUGGUACUGAGACACGGACCAGACUCCUACGGGAGGCAGCAGUGAGGAAUAUUGGUCAAUGGGCGAGAGCCUGAACCAGCCAAGUCGCGUGAAGGAUGACUGUCUUAUGGAUUGUAAACUUCUUUUAUACGGGAAUAACAAGAGUCACGUGUGGCUCCCUGCAUGUACCGUAUGAAUAAGCAUCGGCUAACUCCGUGCCAGCAGCCGCGGUAAUACGGAGGAUGCGAGCGUUAUCCGGAUUUAUUGGGUUUAAAGGGUGCGUAGGCGGCCUGUUAAGUCAGCGGUGAAAUCUAGGAGCUUAACUCCUAAAUUGCCAUUGAUACUGGCGGGCUUGAGUGUAGAUGAGGUAGGCGGAAUGCGUGGUGUAGCGGUGGAAUGCAUAGAUAUCACGCAGAACUCCGAUUGCGAAGGCAGCUUACUAAGGUACAACUGACGCUGAAGCACGAAAGCGUGGGUAUCAAACAGG